UGAGGAAUAUUGGUCAAUGGUCGGGAGACUGAACCAGCCAAGCCGCGUGAGGGAUGAAGGUACAGAGUAUCGUAAACCUCUUUUGUCAGGGAACAAAAUGCGCCACGCGUGGCGCUCCGAGUGUACCUGAAGAAAAAGCAUCGGCUAACUCCGUGCCAGCAGCCGCGGUAAUACGGAGGAUGCGAGCGUUAUCCGGUAUUUAUUGGGUUUAAAGGGUGCGUAGGCGGCGAGUUAAGUCAGCGGUAAAAGCCCGGGGCUCAACCCCGGCCCGCCGUUGAAACUGGCUUGCUUGAGUUGGAGAGAAGUAGGCGGAAUGCGCGGUGUAGCGGUGAAAUGCUUAGAUAUCCCGCAGAACUCCGAUUGCGAAGGCAGCCUACCGGCUCCAGACUGACGCUGAGGCACGAAAGCGUGGGUAUCGAACAGGAUUAGAUACCC
rnacentral:rRNA from 1 species